GAACGGGGGGGGGCAAGUGUUCUUCGGAAUGACUGGGCGUAAAGGGCACGUAGGCGGUGAAUCGGGUUGAAAGUGAAAGUCGCCAAAAAGUGGCGGAAUGCUCUCGAAACCAAUUCACUUGAGUGAGACAGAGGAGAGUGAAAUUUCGUGUGUAGGGGUGAAAUCCGUAAAUAUACGAAGGAACGCCAAAAGCGAAGGCAGCUCUCUGGGUCCCUACCCGACGCUGGGGUGCGAAAGCAUGGGGAGCGAACAGG
rnacentral:rRNA from 1 species